rnacentral:misc_RNA from 1 species
CUGGUAUGCAACACUAAUUAUAAUCUAAUGGAUCUCUGACUUCAAAAAGAAAAGAAAAUGAAAAAAAAGAAAAAUGGAACACCAACUGGAGGGAAAUAAAUAUAUUGGGCUGGGAAAACCUAUUCCAAUUGCUAUCAAUGGGUCAGAAGAAAUAUACUUUUUGAAGAUACAAAACAAAACCACAUGCAUAUACUGAGAUACAUGUAGAGAUACAAAACCAAGCUACAAACAUAUUUCAUCAAAAACAAUAAAAAUGUGGCAUAUAUCUCUACCUUUCUUACUUUUUUCAGGAGUAG